GAUGAACGCUAGCGGGAGGCCUAACACAUGCAAGCCGAGCGGUAGAAUCUCUUCGGAGAUUUGAGAGCGGCGUACGGGUGCGGAACACGUGUGCAACCUGCCUUUAUCUGGAGGAUAGCCUUUCGAAAGGAAGAUUAAUACCCCAUAAUAUAAUGAUUGGCAUCAAUUAUUAUUGAAAACUCCGGUGGAUAGAGAUGGGCACGCGCAAGAUUAGAUAGUUGGUGGGGUAACGGCCCACCAAGUCGAUGAUCUUUAGGGGUCCUGAGAGGGAGAUCCCCCACACUGGUACUGAGACACGGACCAGACUCCUACGGGAGGCAGCAGUGAGGAAUAUUGGACAAUGGGUGGAAGCCUGAUCCAGCCAUCCCGCGUGAAGGACGACGGCCCUAUGGGUUGUAAACUUCUUUUGUACAGGGAUAAACCUCCCCUCGUGAGGGGAGCUGAAGGUACUGUACGAAUAAGCACCGGCUAACUCCGUG
rnacentral:rRNA from 1 species